rnacentral:rRNA from 1 species
UACGAAGGGUGCAAGCGUUAAUCGGAAUUACUGGGCGUAAAGCGCACGUAGGUGGUUCGCUAAGUCAGCUGUGAAAUCCCCGGGCGUCAACCUGGGACGUUGCAGUUGUAAACUGGUGAGCUAGAGUAGGGUAGAGGGUGGUGGAAUUCCAGGUGUAGCGGUGAAAUAGCGUAGAUAUCUGGAGGAACAUCAGUGGCGAAGGCGAC